UUGUGCUAAGGUAGCGUAAUAAUUCGCCUUUUAAUUGGAGGCUAGUAUGAACGAAUGCCUAGAUUGAUGCUUUAUUGUACUAAGGCCUAUAAAUUAAACUUAAUGUGAAAAUUCAUUAUUUUUUAAAAAAGACCAAAAGACCCUAGGAGCUUAAAUUCUGAAAAAUCUAUUUACACCAAGAAUUUUAGUUGGGGAGACCUAGGAUAUACCUCCUACAAGCAUAAUUUUUAAUCUUUUUUAAUUAAAAACAUAGCUACCCUAGGGAUAACAGGCUACUCUUUUUUGAAAGCCCAAAUUUACAAAAAGACAUAGCACCUCGAUGUUGGCUUAGGAGUAAGUAGAA
rnacentral:rRNA from 1 species